rnacentral:rRNA from 1 species
GGUAGUCCACGCCCUAAACGAUGCUGACUAGUUGUUCGGGAUUUACAUCCUGAGUAACGUAGCUAACGCGUGAAGUCAGCCGCCUGGGGAGUACGUUCGCAAGAUUAAAACUCAAAGGAAUUGACGGGGACCCGCACAAGCGGUGGAUGAUGUGGAUUAAUUCGAUGCAACGCGAAAAACCUUACCUACCCUUGACAUGUCACUAACGAAGUAGAGAUACAUUAGGUGCUCGUAAGAGAAAGUGAACACAGGUGCUGCAUGGCUGUCGUCAGCUCGUGUCGUGAGAUGUUGGGUUAAGUCCCGCAACGAGCGCAACCCUUGUCUUUAGUUGCUACGCAAGAGCACUCUAAAGAGACUGCCGGUGACAAACCGGAGGAAGGUGGGGAUGACGUCAAGUCCUCAUGGCCCUUAUGGGUAGGGCUUCACACGUCAUACAAUGGUGCAUACAGAGGGUUGCCAACCCGCGAGGGGGAGCUAAUCUCAGAAAAUGCAUCGUAGUCCGGAUCGUAGUCUGCAACUCGACUACGUGAAGCUGGAAUCGCUAGUAAUCGCGGAUCAGAAUGUCGCGGUGAAUACGUUCCCGGGUCUUGUACACACCGCCCGUCAUACCAUGGGAGUGGGUUUUGCCAGAAGCCGUUAGCCUAACCGCAAGGAG